rnacentral:lncRNA from 1 species
GACAUCAGACCAAGAUUCUGAUAAAAGGGGAUAACAGAGAUUAACCAGAGCAGAAAAAGUACUUUUCUGAGCCAGAGAUAACAAGAGAAACUUAAAGAAAGUGCUGAAGCAAGAAACUUUAAGCCUGUGAGUAGGAUGAACCUAACCAGUUGGCAGUGCCUCGUACUCUGUGAUGGAUUUUCCGAAGACCAAAUGUACCAUUUUCUUGUCUUUUCAAAGAGAGCCACACAGGAAGGAAAACAAGAAAUUCAACUUUUAAGCUGGGCUAUUCAUGGCCUUUGCUAAAUCCUGGCAGAAUUUCACAGUUCUUCAUUACAAUUCAUCUCACUGAUUUCCUAAUGCAAUGAACUGGCCUUUUCAUUAAGGCCAUAGGGAAUGAAGCUGAGUUACCCAAUCAUUAAGUGUUGUUAUCUGAUGAGUGAAAAAUGGAUUACUUUUCAAUGUGCAUUUGGGGAGCCGUGUGUCUGUGUGUGUGUGUGUUUCCACUAGAUUCCAUUUUGCGAAAAUUGGUUCAAGUGGAAGGAGAAGGUUAAUCUUUCAUGUUCUGUUCUGCUAGAACACUAUAUGGCUUUCUGCUCUGUGAGCAGGCAAAGAAAAAUUGGUGGGCUCAGGAAUCAGAAAUGCAGGGCCAACAGUCCUGUUUCUCACUUUCGAUAAGGGCCAACAUUUUACCUGCUCAAGAACAUUCUAUUCCUUUAACCAACGGGAGUGUUAUUUAAUUAGUUCCUUAGUUUUUCAGCUAAAGCAGACACAUGCGCACAUCACACACACAUGCAUGCACUGUGGUGUUUUUUCUUCUAUCGCCCCUCCCUCCACAGAGAUAUCAAUUUGCAUAAGAGGAGAAAAUAAAUUCAUUUAAACCCCAUUCUAAAUUCAGUAUUAGAAAUGUAAUGAUCUCUAACACUGACCUUUUUAAAAUACUUUGUGGAUAAACCAUUGAUUUUAUUUGUUCUAAAUUUACUUUAAAAGACCUGUUUUGUAAAUCACUAAAACACAUGUAUUUUAUUUACCUGUUUGGGAUAAUAUUAAAUGUAAUCUUUGAGGGUA